rfam:Schistosoma mansoni, Puerto Rico, WGS project CABG01000000 data, contig: 0167
AUCCAGCUGACGAGUUUCAAAUAGGACGAAACAUGCGUCAAACCGGAU